AUGGUACUGUUAAUAAAACCCCACUGUGGAGGUGACAAAGGAGACCCUGCGGUCAGUUUUACAGCCAUCCGCAGUAUGGCACAGCCCCGAGACGUUCCCGGAACAACUUCGUCCCGAGCGAGACACAAAGAGAUGUCACGGAGUGAUCCAGAGCGGAACAGGCAGUGCCAGUCAGUGAGAGAGAAGAAACACCCACUGCAAGUGCAGGCUCUGGUCUUGAGGCUCAUCAGCCCAUCCUCUUUGCACUUCUUCGCUGCAGAGACCGCAGCCAGGCGCGGAGCUCGAGUCACGGCCACGGGCAACCAAGAAUUCCACUAACGUCUUCAUCUGGCAAGGGAGCAUUUCUGCAAGAGAGCAAUGUCAUGACUGCCCUGCAUCUGGAAAAGCAUUAGUUUGCCGCUCACUAGACAUCAUAAAACCCACACAGGAGAGGAACCGUGACUGACAGGUGAGUUCUCAGAUGUCUAUUAAGGGUGAGCUCACAACGCAGCCUCUCGUAUAAUUUAGUUAUCAAGCCCGCCAGCCGCAGCACCGUUCAAAAUCACGCUUAGUUCUGCCACUCGCAGAAUCACUUGUUUGCCUUUUCUAGCUUCAAACGCCACUGCUCACCACCCCAGCACUAAUACCUCAGCUCUUUAUCUACCCAAACGUUUUAUUUGCUGCAGCAUAACUGAUUGGGUUAGUUAGAAAAUGUACUACAGGGACCAAUCCCUAGCGGGCUGAAGAAAGGAAGAGACUAAAUUAGCAAACAGGUGAUUAUCCUGAUUACUCCUCUUUCCACUUCUUUAUAAUGUGUGAAAGAGGCCACUUGCUGCUGGAGGUGGGGAAUUCUGCUAUCCCUCUGACUUUUUUUUUUUUUUUUUUUUUUUUUUCUGUCUGGAGGCUCACAAGGCACCUGGGAUAUGGCCACAUACCCUGUACUUGCCCUUUGCCCUCCAUUUCCCUUUAGAAGAGCAGCUUCUCUUUGAGCUUCUCCAAAACCUUUUGAGCUCCUACACAAGUGUCCAGCUUCCUCCAGCACAAACUAGUAUUAUGGAGGAGGCUCACCAUAGGGUCUUGUUGUUGGAAAUACUGUCCUGCCAAGGCUAUAACCCUUGACCAACAAGACAUUACAGCCAAGCGAUGUCCUUUGCUGAAGGUCCCUGCUCACAUCCACCAGCUACUUAGAACAUUUCUUCAUACAUGUAUUUU
rnacentral:lncRNA from 1 species